rnacentral:rRNA from 1 species
UACGUAGGUGGCAAGCGUUGUCCGGAAUUAUUGGGCGUAAAGCGCGCGCAGGUGGUUUCUUACGUCUGAUGUGAAAGCCCACGGCUCAACCGUGGAGGGUCAUUGGAAACUGGGGAACUUGAGUGCAGAAGAGGAAAGUGGAAUUCCAAGUGUAGCGGUGAAAUGCGUAGAGAUUUGGAGGAACACCAGUGGCGAAGGCGACUUUCUGGUCUGUAACUGACACUGAGGCGCGAAAGCGUGGGGAGCGAACAGG